rnacentral:rRNA from 1 species
GACGAACGCUGGCGGCGUGCUUAACACAUGCAAGUCGAACGGAAAGGCCCUGCUUUUGUGGGGUGCUCGAGUGGCGAACGGGUGAGUAACACGUGAGUAACCUGCCCUUGACUUUGGGAUAACUUCAAGAAACUGGGGCUAAUACCGGAUAGGAGCUCCUGCUGCAUGGUGGGGGUUGGAAAGUUUCGGCGGUUGGGGAUGGACUCGCGGCUUAUCAGCUUGUUGGUGGGGUAGUGGCUUACCAAGGCUUUGACGGGUAGCCGGCCUGAGAGGGUGACCGGCCACAUUGGGACUGAGAUACGGCCCAGACUCCUACGGGAGGCAGCAGUGGGGAAUAUUGCACAAUGGGCGGAAGCCUGAUGCAGCAACGCCGCGUGCGGGAUGACGGCCUUCGGGCUGUAAACCGCUUUCGCCUGUGACGAAGCGUGAGUGACGGUAAUGGGUAAAGAAGCACCGGCUAACUACGUG